rnacentral:rRNA from 1 species
CCCUGGCUCAGGAUGAACGCUGGCGGCGUGCUUAACACAUGCAAGUCGAACGAUGAUCCCAGCUUGCUGGGGGAUUAGUGGCGAACGGGUGAGUAACACGUGAGUAACCUGCCCUUAACUCUGGGAUAAGCCUGGGAAACUGGGUCUAAUACCGGAUAUGACUCCUCAUCGCAUGGUGGGGGGUGGAAAGCUUUAUUGUGGUUUUGGAUGGACUCGCGGCCUAUCAGCUUGUUGGUGAGGUAAUGGCUCACCAAGGCGACGACGGGUAGCCGGCCUGAGAGGGUGACCGGCCACACUGGGACUGAGACACGGCCCAGACUCCUACGGGAGGCAGCAGUGGGGAAUAUUGCACAAUGGGCGAAAGCCUGAUGCAGCGACGCCGCGUGAGGGAUGACGGCCUUCGGGUUGUAAACCUCUUUCAGUAGGGAAGAAGCGAAAGUGACGGUACCUGCAGAAGAAGCGCCGGCUAACUC